GACGAACGCUGGCGGCGUGCUUAACACAUGCAAGUCGAACGGAAAGGCCCUGCUUUUGUGGGGUGCUCGAGUGGCGAACGGGUGAGUAACACGUGAGUAACCUGCCCUUGACUUUGGGAUAACUUCAGGAAACUGGGGCUAAUACCGGAUAGGAGCUCCUGCUGCAUGGGGGGGGUUGGAAAGUUUCGGCGGUUGGGGAUGGAUUCGCGGCUUAUCAGCUUGUUGGUGGGGUAGUGGCUUACCAAGGCUUUGACGGGUAGCCGGCCUGAGAGGGUGACCGGCCACAUUGGGACUGAGAUACGGCCCAGACUCCUACGGGAGGCAGCAGUGGGGAAUAUUGCACAAUGGGCGGGAGCCUGAUGCAGCAACGCCGCGUGCGGGAUGACGGCCUUCGGGUUGUAAACCGCUUUCGCCUGUGACGAAGCGUGAGUGACGGUAAUGGGUAAAGAAGCACCGGCUAACUACGUG
rnacentral:rRNA from 1 species